GAUGAACGCUGGCGGCGUGCCUAAUACAUGCAAGUCGAGCGAACGGACGAGAAGCUUGCUUCUCUGAUGUUAGCGGCGGACGGGCGAGUAACACGUGGAUAACCUACCUAUAAGACUGGGAUAACUUCGGGAAACCGGAGCUAAUACCGGAUAAUAUUUUGAACCGCAUGGUUCAAAAGUGAAAGACGAUCUUGCUGUCACUUAUAGAUGGAUCCGCGCUGCAUUAGCUAGUUGGUAAGGUAACGGCUUACCAAGGCAACGAUGCAUAGCCGACCUGAGAGGGUGAUCGGCCACACUGGAACUGAGACACGGUCCAGACUCCUACGGGAGGCAGCAGUAGGGAAUCUUCCGCAAUGGGCGAAAGCCUGACGGAGCAACGCCGCGUGAGUGAUGAAGGUCUUCGGAUCGUAAAACUCUGUUAUUAGGGAAGAACAUAUGUGUAAGUAACUGUGCACAUCUUGACGGUACCUAAUCAGAAAGCCACGGCUAACUACGUG
rnacentral:rRNA from 1 species